ensembl:lncRNA
CUCAGGUUCUAUCUCUCUCAUGUUCUAUCUCUCUCAGGUUCUAUCUCUCUCUCUCAGGUUCUAUCUCUCUCAUGUUCUAUCUCUCUCAGGUUCUCUCUCUCUCUCAGGUUCUAUCUCUCUCAUGUUCUAUCUCUCUCAGGUUCUAUCUCUCUCAUGUUCUAUCUCUCUCAGGUUCUAUCUCUCUCUCUCAGGUUCUAUCUCUCUCUCUCAGGUUCUAUCUCUCUCUCUCAUGUUCUAUCUCUCUCUCUAAUGUUCUAUCUCUCUCUCUCAGGUUCUCUCUCUCUCAGGUUCUAUCUCUCUCAUGUUCUAUCUCUCUCAUGUUCUAUCUCUCUCAGGUUCUAUCUCUCUCAUGUUCUAUCUCUCUCAGGUUCUAUCUCUCUCAGGUUCUAUCUCUCUCAGGUUCUAUCUCUCUCAGGUUCUACCCCAGCACCAGGUCCCCCGAAGUACUAAUCAUCCUCUGCGUUAACCCUCUCUCUUUCUUUUUACCUCUCCUGUCCCUCUCUCUUUCUCUUUACCUCUCCUGUCCCUCUCUCUUUCUCUUUAUCGCUCCUCUCCUGUCUUUCUCUUUAUCGCUCUCUUCUCACUUUAUCGUUUUUCUCUCUGUCUCUGUCCCUUCUCUUCUGCUCUAACUCCACCUUACUUACUUUCUGUCCAGC